rnacentral:tRNA from 1 species
GCCCAGCUAGCUCAGUCGCUAGCGCAUGAGACUCUUAACCUCAGUGUCGUGGGUUCGAGCCCCACGUUGGGCG